UGACGGUAUGCCUUACACAUGCAAGUCGAACGGAAAAGGUCUCUUCGGAGAUACUCAAGUGGCGGACGGGUGAGUAACACGUAGGAAUCUGCCCCAGAGUGGGGGACAACCAAGGGAAACCUUGGCUAAUACCCCAUAUGGCGUGAGCUGAAAGUUUUUUCGCUCUGGGAGGAGCCUGCGCUUGAUUAGCUAGUUGGUGAGGUAAUAGCUCACCAAGGCGACGAUCAAUAGCUGGUCUGAGAAGAUGACCAGCCACAAUGGGACUGAGAUACGGCCCAUACUCCUACGGGAGGCAGCAGUGGGGAAUUUUGCGCAAUGGACGAAAGUCUGACGCAGCAAUACCGUGUGUGGGAUGACGCCUCGUGGGGUGUAAACCACUGUCAGAAUGGAAAAAUUUGAUUGUACAUUCAAAGGGAAGCACCGGCUAAUUCCGUGCCAGCAGCCGCGGUAAUACGGAAGGUGCAAGCGUUGUCCGGAUUUAUUGGGCGUAAAGAGUUUGUAGGCGGUUUUUGUAAGUCUGAAGUGAAAUAAUGGAGCUCAACUCCAUACACGCUUUUGAAACUACAGAACUAGAGGAUGUUAGGGGUGAGUGGAAUUUCC
rnacentral:rRNA from 1 species